GACGAACGCUGGCGGCGUGCUUAACACAUGCAAGUCGAACGGAAAGGUCCGGCUUUUGUGGGGUGCUCGAGUGGCGAACGGGGGAGUAACACGUGAGUAACGUGCCCUUGACCGUGGGGUAACUUCAGGAAACUGGGGCUAAUACCGGCUAGGAGCUCCUGCUGCAUGGUGGGGGUGGGAUAGUUUCGGUGGUUGGGGAUGGAAUCGCGGCGUAUCAGCUUGUUGGUUGGGUAGUGGCUGAGCAAGGCUUUGACGGGUAGCAGGCCUGGUAGGGUGACCGGCCCCAUUGCGACGGGAAUGAGACACAGCCCCCUCCGGGACGGAGCGGUGGAGUAUAUUGCACAAUGCGCGGAAGCAUAAUGCAGCAACGCCGCGUGCGGGAUGACGGCCAUCGGGUUGUAAUCCACUUUCCCCUGUGACGAAGCGUUAGUGACGGUAAUGGGUAAAGAAGCACCGGCUAACUACGUG
rnacentral:rRNA from 1 species